rnacentral:rRNA from 1 species
UACGUAGGGUGCAAGCGUUGUCCGGAAUUAUUGGGCGUAAAGGGCUCGUAGGCGGUCCGUCACGGUCGGGAGUGAAAUCCUGGGGCUUAACCCCAGAACUGCUUCCGAUACGGGCAGACUAGAGGUAGGUAGGGGAGAAUGGAAUUCCUGGUGUAGCGGUGGAAUGCGCAGAUAUCAGGAAGAACACCCGUGGCGAAGGCGCUCUCUGGAACGCAACUGACGCUGAGACGCGAAAGCGUGGGGAGCAAACAGG